GCGAAUGGUGGAUGCCUUGACUGGUAAAGGCGAUGAAGGACGUACUAGACUGCGAUAAGCUACGGGGAGCUGUCAAGAAGCUUUGAUCCGUAGAUUUCCGAAUGGGGCAACCCAAUGUAUAGAGAUAUACAUUACCUAUAUAGGAGCGAACGAGGGGAAUUGAAACAUCUUAGUACCCUCAGGAAAAGAAAUCAAUAGAGAUUGCGUCAGUAGCGGCGAGCGAAAGCGCAAGAGGGCAAACCCAGUGCUUGCACUGGGGGUUGUAGGACUGCAAUGUGCAAGAGGUAAGUUUAGCAGAACAUUCUGGAAAGUAUAACCAUAGAGGGUGAUAGUCCCGUAUGCGAAAAACAAACCUUAGCUAGCAGUAUCCUGAGUAGGGCGGGACACGAGGAAUCCUGUCUGAAUCCGGGUCGACCACGAUCCAACCCUAAAUACUAAUACCAGAUCGAUAGUGCACAAGUACCGUGAGGGAAAGGUGAAAAGAACUGAGGUGAUCAGAGUGAAAUAGAACCUGAAACCAUUUGCUUACAAUCAUUCAGAGCCCUAUGUAGCAAUACAGGGUGAUGGACUGCCUUUUGCAUAAUGAGCCUGCGAGUUGUGGUGUCUGGCAAGGUUAAGCAAACGCGAAGCCGUAGCGAAAGCGAGUCUGAAUAGGGCGCUUAGUCAGAUGCUGCAGACCCGAAACGAAGUGAUCUAUCCAUGAGCAAGUUGAAGCUAGUGUAAGAACUAGUGGAGGACUGAACCCAUAGGCGUUGAAAAGCCCCGGGAUGACUUGUGGAUAGGGGUGAAAGGCCAAUCAAACUUCGUGAUAGCUGGUUCUCUCCGAAAUAUAUUUAGGUAUAGCGUUGUGUCGUAAUAUAAGGGGGUAGAGCACUGAAUGGGCUAGGGCAUACACCAAUGUACCAAACCCUAUCAAACUCCGAAUACCUUAUAUGUAAUCACAGCAGUCAGGCGGCGAGUGAUAAAAUCCGUCGUCAAGAGGGAAACAACCCAGACUACCAGCUAAGGUCCCUAAGUCUUACUUAAGUGGAAAACGAUGUGAAGUUACUUAAACAACCAGGAGGUUGGCUUAGAAGCAGCCAUCCUUUAAAGAAAGCGUAAUAGCUCACUGGUCUAGUGAUUUUGCGCGGAAAAUAUAACGGGGCUAAAGU
rnacentral:rRNA from 1 species